rnacentral:lncRNA from 1 species
AUGGAUUUAAGUGGAUUUAUUAACUUCCCUCUGCUUUAUGCAUUCUCACUUCUUCCUGUGUUUAAUUUGUUUGUAGUUAACUGCAAGGCCUCUGAGGCACGGGAAUUCACAGCUGAGUUCUUGGAGAAGGUCCUUGAGCCAUCUGGAUGGCGGACAGUCUGGCACAUGAUGUGCUCAAGGUGCUGCUUGAGGCCACAGAUGUGGACAUUUCAGCCUUGGAGGCAGUGGUGCAGCUUGCUGAGCCAUACCUCUGUGAAUCUUGAGCGAGUACUUUCACCUUGGAGUGUAUGA